rnacentral:rRNA from 1 species
UACGAAGGGUGCAAGCGUUGCUCGGAAUUAUUGGGCGUAAAGCGCACGUAGGCGGCAUUGCAAGUCGGAUGUGAAAUCUUAUGGCUUAACCAUAAAAGUGCAUCCGAAACUGCAGUGCUUGAGUACUUAAGAGGAUCGCGGAAUUCCCGGUGUAGAGGUGAAAUUCGUAGAUAUCGGGAGGAACACCAGUGGCGAAGGCGGCGAUCUGGGAAGAUACUGACGCUGAGGUGCGAAAGCUAGGGGAGCAAACGGG